rnacentral:rRNA from 1 species
GGAGUGCUAGAUAGCAUGCAUACGCUCGGAUCGACGUGUACUGUUUUCACACCGGAGACUUCGCUAGAGCCGUGGAUAACCAUAGGUACGUGGCGAAUCGGAGUGAGUACACGUGAGGUGAAUCUACCAUCAGACAGGUGGAUCACACUUGGAAACAGGUGCUAAUACCGUCAUAACAAUCGAAAUCGCAUGGUUUGAUUUGAAAGGCGCUUUCGGGUGUUCGCUGAUGGAUGGACCCGCGUGCAUUAGCUCACGUUGGUGAGGUAUCAGCUCACCAGGCCACGAU